AUUGAACGCUGGCGGCAGGCCUAACACAUGCAAGUCGAGCGGAUGAAGGGAGCUUGCUCCUGGAUUCAGCGGCGGACGGGUGGGUAAUGCCUAGGAAUCUGCCUGGUAGUGGGGGAUAACGUCCGGAAACGGGCGCUAAUACCGCAUACGUCCUGAGGGAGAAAGUGGGGGAUCUUCGGACCUCACGCUAUCAGAUGAGCCUAGGUCGGAUUAGCUAGUUGGUGGGGUAAAGGCCUACCAAGGCGACGAUCCGUAACUGGUCUGAGAGGAUGAUCAGUCACACUGGAACUGAGACACGGUCCAGACUCCUACGGGAGGCAGCAGUGGGGAAUAUUGGACAAUGGGCGAAAGCCUGAUCCAGCCAUGCCGCGUGUGUGAAGAAGGUCUUCGGAUUGUAAAGCACUUUAAGUUGGGAGGAGGGGCAGUAAGUUAAUACCUUGCUGUUUUGACGUUACCAACAGAAUAAGCACCGGCUAACUUCGUG
rnacentral:rRNA from 1 species